GACGAACGCUGGCGGCGUGCUUAACACAUGCAAGUCGUACGGUAAGGCCCUUUCGGGGGUACACGAGUGGCGAACGGGUGAGUAACACGUGAGUAACCUGCCCACAACUUUGGGAUAACGCUAGGAAACUGGUGCUAAUACUGGAUAUGUGCUCCUGCUGCAUGGUGGGGGUUGGAAAGCUCCGGCGGUUGUGGAUGGACUCGCGGCCUAUCAGCUUGUUGGUGGGGUAGUGGCCUACCAAGGCGGCGACGGGUAGCCGGCCUGAGAGGGUGACCGGCCACAGUGGGACUGAGAUACGGCCCAGACUCCGACGGGAGGGAGCAGUGGGGAAUAUUGCACAAUGGGCGCAAGCCUGAUGCAGCAACGCCGCGUGCGGGAUGACGGCCUUCGGGUUGGAAACCGCUUUCAGCAGGGACGAAGCUUUUUGUGACGGUACCUGCAGAAGAAGCACCGGCUAACUACGUG
rnacentral:rRNA from 1 species